rnacentral:ncRNA from 1 species
GAAAGCCGUGUGAGCCGAAAGGUUCAUGCACGGUUUGGGACGGGGGAAAAUCUGAAGAUAACAUCAAAGGAUUACCUAUCGUCAU